rnacentral:rRNA from 1 species
UACGUAGGGUGCGAGCGUUAAUCGGAAUUACUGGGCGUAAAGCGUGCGCAGGCGGUUCGCCAAGUCAGGUGUGAAAUCCCCGGGCUUAACCUGGGAAUUGCGCUUGAAACUAGCGGGCUUGAGUGCGGCAGAGGGGGGUGGAAUUCCACGUGUAGCGGUGAAAUGCGUAGAGAUGUGGAGGAACACCUGUGGCGAAGGCGCCUUGCUGGCCGAUUUCUGACGCUGAGGCGCGAAAGCGUGGGGAGCAAACAGG